rnacentral:snoRNA from 1 species
NNNNNNNUACUUUCAGGGAUCAUUUCUAUAGUUUGUUACUAGAGAAGUUCCUCUGGUUGUGUAGGGCACCCGAAACCACGAGGAAGAGACAUAGCACUCUCUCCUGAGCGUGAAGCUGGCUCUUGGUGUUGUAUCUGCAAUUGCCAUCUGCCUUUGAUGACCGUUCUUGCCUCUCAUAAGAGAGGAAGGAGGGAGAGGGUGUGUUCUGAGUGG